AGUGAACGCUGGCGGUAGGCCUAACACAUGCAAGUCGAACGGCAGCACAGUAAGAGCUUGCUCUUACGGGUGGCGAGUGGCGGACGGGUGGGGAAUACAUCGGAAUCUAUUUUUUCGUGGGGGAUAACGUAGGGAAACUUACGCUAAUACCGCAUACGACCUACGGGUGAAAGCAGGGGAUCUUCGGACCUUGCGCGAUUGAAUGAGCCGAUGUCGGAUUAGCUAGUUGGCGGGGUAAAGGCCCACCAAGGCGACGAUCCGUAGCUGGUCUGAGAGGAUGAUCAGCCACACUGGAACUGAGACACGGUCCAGACUCCUACGGGAGGCAGCAGUGGGGAAUAUUGGACAAUGGGCGCAAGCCUGAUCCAGCCAUACCGCGUGGGUGAAGAAGGCCUUCGGGUUGUAAAGCCCUUUUGUUGGGAAAGAAAAGCAGCAGGUUAAUACCCCGCUGUUCUGACGGUACCCAAAGAAUAAGCACCGGCUAACUUCGUG
rnacentral:rRNA from 1 species